GGCAUGGGAAAGGGACUGGGCCUCCCUAACAGAGGAGCCCUAACAUCAAGUGGGCGGUGGGAUGGGUUGUGGGUGGAGGGAGGCAGCCUAGUCUAAGAAUGGAGGCAGUCGAAGAGCCCAGGUGGCUGUAGAUCUCUGCUGGCAGGCUCCUUGCAGAUUCUCCAUGUGUGCAGGUGCUGUCUUUCAGAUGUUUGGGAAAGUUGCCAUGAGAGAUAACAACCAGAUCAAUAGGAACAAUAACUUCCAGACGUUUCCCCAGGCGGUGCUGCUGCUCUUCAGGUGUGCAACAGGUGAGGCCUGGCAGGAGAUCAUGCUGGCCUGUCUCCCAGGGAAGCUCUGUGACCCUGAGUCAGAUUACAACCCCGGGGAGGAGUAUACAUGUGGGAGCAACUUUGCCAUUGUCUAUUUCAUCAGUUUUUACAUGCUCUGUGCAUUUCUGAUCAUCAAUCUGUUUGUGGCUGUCAUCAUGGAUAAUUUCGACUAUCUGACCCGGGACUGGUCUAUUUUGGGGCCUCACCAUUUAGAUGAAUUCAAAAGAAUAUGGUCAGAAUAUGACCCUGAGGCAAAGGGAAGGAUAAAACACCUUGAUGUGGUCACUCUGCUUCGACGCAUCCAGCCUCCCCUGGGGUUUGGGAAGUUAUGUCCACACAGAGUAGCGUGCAAGAGAUUAGUUGCCAUGAACAUGCCUCUCAACAGUGACGGGACAGUCAUGUUUAAUGCAACCCUGUUUGCUUUGGUUCGAACGGCUCUUAAGAUCAAGACCGAAGGGAACCUGGAGCAAGCUAAUGAAGAACUUCGGGCUGUGAUAAAGAAAAUUUGGAAGAAAACCAGCAUGAAAUUACUUGACCAAGUUGUCCCUCCAGCUGGUGUUUUAAAGGUGCAGGAUCUGUUCACCCAGUGCCACCACACCAGCAUUCUAGCAUCCUUGGGCCGGGCAUGUGAUGAGCCUUUGGUGUGUUUCGUGACCAGCGAACUUUUAUAGUGUCGCUGCCGCCACAGCUUUCGAGACUGGUCUGGCUCAGGUCUGGUAGCUGACUUCAGGACCCAGGCCAGGACGGUGACCAAGGCCCUGCCCCUGAGAAGGUGAUGAGCUCUGGCUCUUGGGGUGCAGACAGAGCAGCAUGCCAGCCAGCUCUGCUCCUUAGCAUGAAGCGAGAAGCAACGUGAGCUUUUGUUGCUGAAGGGGUUACCCGUAGCUGGCACGGCCACAGGCUCAAAGCUGGGGAAGAUGGCCCAGAAAGAAAUGAUAAAAGGAAGACAAACCAACAACAACAACAAAACAAAACAAAAAUCCUCCCACCUAGAGAACCCUGGCUUCCCACAGGAGAACUGAUACUGCACAUUUAAAACAACUCUUUGGUUUUCAUUCUUUUCUUUUUAGCUGCACACCCAAGAGCUUGCAUGGCUUAGAUGAAAUGCUUUUGAAAAAUUGUAACAAUGUGCUUGAGCUUUUUCUGCAGCCUCCAUUCCUUUCACCUCUCAGUCUUUCAGAAUAUUCUGAAGCAAUUCUGUUUUAGGCUGGUGGCAUGGAAUCAGAGUUAUCUCUUGCCAACUGUAUUCCCCUACAUUGUUUCUUUAAAUACAGAUGCAUGCUUCAGAA
rnacentral:sRNA from 1 species